AUUGAACGCUGGCGGCAGGCCUAACACAUGCAAGUCGAGCGGAUGAAGGGAGCUUGCUCCUGGAUUCAGCGGCGGACGGGUGAGUAAUGCCUAGGAAUCUGCCUGGUAGUGGGGGAUAACGUCCGGAAACGGGCGCUAAUACCGCAUACGUCCUGAGGGAGAAAGUGGGGGAUCUUCGGACCUCACGCUCUCAGAUGAGCCUAGGUCGGAUUAGCUAGUUGGUGGGGUAAAGGCCUACCAAGGCGGCGAUCCGUAACUGGUCUGAGAGGAUGAUCAGUCACACUGGAACUGAGACACGGUCCAGACUCCUACGGGAGGCAGCAGUGGGGAAUAUUGGACAAUGGGCGAAAGCCUGAUCCAGCCAUGCCGCGUGUGUGAAGAAGGUCUUCGGAUUGUAAAGCACUUUAAGUUGGGAGGAAGGGCAGUAAGUUAAUACCUUGCUGUUUUGACGUUACCAACAGAAUAAGCACCGGCUAACUUCGUG
rnacentral:rRNA from 1 species